UGUGUAUCGUGGAGCUCUAGACCAGGCACUAGGACAGUACUCGUGGCCGACAGUGGCAGUGGCUUUCCCCCAGGGCAGGUCGCGCGCACGGGCGCCCAGCAGCCUCUUCCCGGACACCACCGGCCCCGCGGAGCAAGGGGAGCGGUACCCUUUGGGCUGUGGUGGAGCGGAUCGGGCGAGCGGGAGUGGGAGGACAGCGCACUAUGCCGGAGAUGUAAGGGGGUCGCGCGAGGUGCCUGGCAAAGUUGGGGGGCGCUCACGGUGCCUGGGGAGGCAUGGAAUGGGCGGGGGCACAGUGCCCAGAGCCACUGCCCAGCUCGGAUCUCGCCCUCUUCCUUCCCUGUGGAAACAACUUCCUGCUUCCCUGACUCAGGGCGCAGAAACUGCGGGGAGAAGUUCAAGGCCGCAGCUUUGCUCUCAGCCCGACGGCGACACUGCUGGCUCCAGGCCACACGGUUCUUUCCUGGGCUCCUUCAGGGGAAGGGGAACGCCUGGGCUCCAUGGCCUGGACACUGGUUAGGAUGUCAAGGGGUCUGCAGCGUCUUUCCCCGCCGGCUUUGCAGGGGCGUCCAAGUCUGCAAACUGCAGAGGCGCAGGCCUGGGACUCUGGCCCUGGGGAACACCCGUCAGCACACGGUCGCUACACUCAGACCCCUUCCCCCUGCCUGGGUAUGCUCUGGCUCAGAGCCACGCAGACCUAGCUCUUCCUGAACGCCAGCGAUGGCCCCGUUGAUGGCCAGGGCCCGAGAGAAACAUGGCCUCGGGGCCCCAUCCCACUCUCUGUGCCUGUCUCCCCCCUACUACCCCCCCCUCUGGCCUUGGCAUUCUAACCAGUGUCCCUUGACGUCACAUCUCGCCAUUUCUGUCAACCAAUUGAAACUUGCCCGUUGUCAUAAAAAUAUAUAUUUUUAUGCCAUUGGUAAAUUCAAAAGUUCCUCGCAUGCCCAGCUGCCCAGGAAACUCCACUCCACGUUGGAUUGGAUUGCCCAGGAGGGGAAAACUG
rnacentral:lncRNA from 1 species